rnacentral:lncRNA from 1 species
UGCAAUUUGAUUUUUUCCACUCACACGGUCACACCACAAAAACAAUCUGAUUACACCCUAAAUUGACUAAAGUACCCUUAUAAUAAAUUAAAUUUCCAAUACAAUCAAACAACCUUACGCCUUUUGCCUCCAUAUCAUUUCCUCGUUAAUUCACACCAAAAACCUCAAACUGCCGUCGCCGUCGCUUAAGCCGCCGUUGCCGUUAAUCUCCGCCGCUCAAAUCUCCGUCGUGUCAUCUUCCAUCUACGCUUCUUUAACUCAAUUUCAAAUGUAAGUGUUCGAGUUACCAAUUCAUGAUUCUGCGAUUUAUUUGAGUUCGAUUGUGAAUCUGCCAGAAGUUCCUUACGAAAUUAGGUUGAUUUUGAGUUCCAUCUCUCAAUUUUGAUUUGCGUUUUGAUUUUCUGGGUUUGAAGUGGUUAACGUGAAUUCAUUUCACGCACAGAGGUAAACUGAGUUUUUUUGUGUACCUAUGUAAACUGAAUUUGCGUAUUAUAUAUGUGAACUGAGUUCACGUACGGUUCAAAUU